CCUACGGGUGGCAGCAGUAGGGAAUAUUGCUCAAUGGGGGAAACCCUGAAGCAGCAACGCCGCGUGGAGGAUGAAGGUUUUCGGAUUGUAAACUCCUUUUGUUAGAGAAGAUAAUGACGGUAUCUAACGAAUAAGCACCGGCUAACUCCGUGCCAGCAGCCGCGGUAAUACGGAGGGUGCAAGCGUUACUCGGAAUCACUGGGCGUAAAGGGCGCGUAGGCGGGAUAGCAAGUCAGAUGUGAAAUCCUAUGGCUUAACCAUAGAACUGCAUUUGAAACUGUUAUUCUAGAGUAGAGUAGAGGUAGGUGGAAUUCUUGGUGUAGGGGUAAAAUCCGUAGAUAUCAAGAAGAAUACUGAUUGCGAAGGCGACCUGCUAGAACAUAACUGACGCUGAUGCGCGAAAGCGUGGGGAGCAAACAGGAUUAGAUACCCGAGUAGUC
rnacentral:rRNA from 1 species